CGCCUGUAAGACGUAUUAUGAGACGGUACGCAGGAGCUUUAGAUAUACGCAGCCAGAGAACUCAUUGCUGGCGGACGCUGCCAAGAAUUCAUCUCGGAGUCGAGCGAGAAGAAAGAGGCUGCUGGAAUCGAGGCUGAAGAUGGCGUCAUUGGCGGGGUCUCUGGAUGGAUUGUACGGCCGCCGUCAUUUCGUAGGCCGGAUCUCUCUGAACUCUGUGUGAAGCUGCAGUUCCGGUUAGAGGCGACGCCGAAGUACAGAGCCACGGACAGUAGGCGUCUGCACAACGGACCUGCCUCGGAAAGAACGUAGUUUUUGGAUACCCAUGUGUGGGCAGAUCCUCGCGUUGUAUAUAGUUGUGUUUGUUUUAAUAAAGCUCUUUCUUUGCAUAAACA